CUCACGUCCUGUGGUCCUCCCUUGCAUGAUCAACAUACCCAGGGGACCUCUAGAAAAGGAGAAGCAGCCCCUCCCUACUGGUUAGCCACUAGCAUCCCCAGCUCUUUUUCUGUCCAAAAGGAGAAGUAUGAGCAAAAUGUCACUUCCUACAACUCUGAUGUUCAAACUCGUUCUUCCUAGGCCUUUGGGCAUAGCAGUGAAACAUACUUGUUCAGGAUAGCUGGUCAAAACAAAAGGUGGAGACAGAGCAGCUCAGAUUAGCCUCUGCUCUUGCAGUAGCUUGUGUGCAGAUAGUUAGUGGGUGGUUGUCUGCCUACAUGCUUCUCUGGAUUCUUACAAGUUGGGCUUACGUGCACCUUUGUAUUCUGCCUUAUUAAAUAAGCUGGCACAGAGGAAUCCUCUGAAAUACCCUUCCAAAAGCUCUUCCUCAUGAGGAAUUUUUAAAAAUUACAGUACUUAAAUGGGUGAAAAAAAAACAAAACCAUAAACUUCACAAAACCCUACUUUGAAUGGAUUCAGAAAUACUUCUGCUUUUUCUAUUAAACCUGAUUAUUUGGGGAGCUCUUUGGAUAGGUGUGCUGGCAAGCAAAUUGCACGCAGACCGAGGUAAUAAUAGUGAAACAAAAUGCAGUAGCUGCUGAUGGGGUGGAUUUGGUCAGGAGAGGGUUUAUCAAGGACGCCUCUGACAGCUUUUUUUCUGAUGUGAUUAUUUUUUUACAUUAAUAGAAGCUAUAGGGCUUAAUAAUAUACAACUGAGGAUUAUGUCCAUUGUAUUUUUUUUUUAUGUUACUUUAACAAACUAUGUAGUACUAUAAUCAAAAUGCUUAUUUCUGAAACAAAGUGGACGAUAUUGUUUGGCAACUUGCACUUGAUUAAAUGUACAACAUUUUCUUAAUUUAGUGACGUGUUUAGGAGAAUACUUUAGAAAUCUGUUAAUGGUUGAUUUGUAACACUAGGACCUUUAUGGGGAUCACAGUGGGAUUUUUGUUUGUUUGUUUUUGUUUGUUUAUGAUCAGAGACUUAGACAUUUUGGAAUGUAUAACAUUUAUCCUUGUGCUGGAAUUGUUUACAUGCAAAAAGGUAUUUAUGAUUUUUUUGCAAAAUGCAAUGUGCAAUUUUGUACACGUGUUUUAAACUAAAGAGUUUAUAAGGAAGAUAUUGUAUGUACAAUACUUGGACAUGAGUAUUAUUUCUUUGAUAUAAAUAUCUAGAGGAAAAUUAAAGUUGCUUUAUAUUCAUAUUUUUGGCUGAUUUUUUUAUUAUUAUUAUUAUUUCACCUCAAGGCAUAGUUGUCAUUUUGCUGGAAAAUCUAAAAACGAGUUCAUCUAGGUUUUUCCUGUAGUAUCUUCUUACUGUGCUUACUGUGCCACUCCCCGCUCCUUUCAACUGUGUCAGCAUUUUGAAGCGCAAGGAAGGAUUUCUGCUGGUAGUGACGUUACUCUUCAGGAUAACUUCCCUAUACACUUAGCGCAGAUGCAACACGCACUCGCGCACACGCAC
ensembl:lncRNA